UCCUCAAACAUGGUGCAAUGGGUCAGCGCAUCUGGCUGUUAACCAAAAGGUUGGUGGUUUGAGCCCACCCUGUAGGAA
rnacentral:tRNA from 1 species